CGUAGGGUGCGAGCGUUAAUCGGAAUUACUGGGCGUAAAGCGUGCGCAGGCGGUUUAGUAAGACAGGCGUGAAAUCCCCGGGCUCAACCUGGGAACUGCGCUUGUGACUGCUAAGCUAGAGUACGGCAGAGGGGGGUGGUAUUCCACGUGUAGCAGUGAAAUGCGUAGAGAUGUGGAGGAACACCAAUGGCGAAGGCAGCCCCCUGGGUCGAUACUGACGCUCAUGCACGAAAGCGUGGGUAGCAAACAGGAUUAGAUACCCUGGUAGUCCACGCCCUAAACGAUGUCAACUAGGUGUUGGGAGGGUAAAACCUUUUAGUACCGGAGCUAACGCGUGAAGUUGACCGCCUGGGGAGUACGGCCGCAAGGUUA
rnacentral:rRNA from 1 species